GUCAUCGGGAUCGAGUGUCGAGUCACAGGAGCCUUUUCAGGAGGAGGCCCGAACCUGGGGCGAUGGAGGUGGCCUCGACCCCAGGAUUCCCACCUUCGGAUCUCUGUGGGUUCUUUCCGGGUCAGGUGGCUCGUCAAAGCCCGAGAAGGUGCUGUUGAUGUGACAUCUUGCGAAGGACAGAGUUUUGGAAACGCAAGCAUUUGGGGCGAAAGGAGAGAAAACCCUCAAAACUCAGAUUGAGGAGAAGUCGUGUGAGGCCUUGGCUCCUCCGUCAAGAAAUGAGCUAGGGUUCCUGAACGCGGGGGCCUCUCUCCUCCUCUGUGGUUCCUAAAGCAAGGGCCAGGCUGGCCCCGCGCUUACAUUGACCAAGGCCGAUCAGAGGUCUGUUUUACCAAACCUCUAGCACGUCUCUCUCUAGUGAGCUUUGGUGGCAUAUAGAAAAAUUAUAAGAUUUCCAAACACUGGGAGGAGAAAAUGACAGUUCCCUGAGGUGGUGAUGUGACCACAAAGGAUUGCAUCAUGAAACCAGACACACGGCAAUCAGAGAUCUUACCCUGCAUCAAGCUUUCCUGAUAUUUGUUAUCAGCAACCACGAGGCCCAGGCUUCGCAGAGAGAGGUCUGAGCCCACCAGCACAGAUCCCCUCAUCCUUCCUGCAUCAGGAUUCACUCUGGCACAGAUUCACUGAAGUCUCUAAGGAAUUCUUUCUAUAUAGAAAUUCUGGAGCUGAGUCCAGUUCUCAGAGGGCCACCUGGAUGAGAAUGAAAGCAACAGAGCUCAAGAUGAAAUUACUUCCAAAGAAAGCAGUAAUGAAGACAUUAGUUAUUCCGUAAGGUUUGAUAUGCAGCAGGAUCUUUUCAAAGCGGAGCUGAUUCAACAUAAAAAAUAAGUGACUGGUAUGCACCACCAGGCAGAAGGAAGAACUGUUCUGAAGCUGGCUGUUCUUUGGAUGAACUGGGUCAGGACUGUCGUCUAUCAGGACGACUCCAAGCCAAGCAGGACCUCCUGGCAUCUGCUGAAGCCAUGAGAAGAUUGGAAUGUUCCUCAUGUAGUCAACAGCUCACACUCUCUGAAAAAUGUACCUCCUGUCUCACGGUCCAUCUUGGAUUCUGCAACUCAGCUAAUUAAAGAGGAUUAUAUCCCCAGAUGCCAGUAAUCCUGUUACUACAAUGACAGUCAUGUGCAAAGCUUGAAAUCGGAAUACUUCCUGUUUCAACUGUCAGGUUUUCACAGUGAAAUUAAAAUCCUUCAAGUGAAAUCUCCCUUUUCAUUUUUGUUACUCUUCUUCCGGAACCUAAAUUUCCCCAAGAAAACCUUUAAAGGCGACGCACUGUAAACCAGGCACUCCCGUGCCUGCCUUUGUCCAGAGGUUAGAAAGUUACGGAAGAACAUUCCCCCGCAACACCCUGCCUGGGGCGUCCCGACAAGAGCAAGCUCUGCCGAUGUGCAUGUUGUCGGCGCCGAUCUAGGAUGGAGAAACCUGCUUCCUAACGCGGCCAAGUCCCCUCCGGAGGGAUCGGUGGGUGGACGAAGGUCCGGCCAGCACACGAGGCCAAGCUCUCCCCUUGGUGGUGACACAGACCGACCGCAGCUGGAGGUGCUGAGCCGCGUUCACCGAGGACACCUGUUCUGUCUUCUGUUUAAUUUCGGAAAUAGUUCCUCCCCCGGCCCGUGGAGACGCCCAUCACAAAGCAAAUGGAGCUUGGGGCUCAGAGGGGGUGCUUUCACCAGUGCGCGAUGGGGGCUGUGCCUCAGUUUCCCGGCGUAAGGAGCACAUUUCAUGCAGCAGAACCGCCAGUCC